AGCGGCGGACGGGUGAGUAACGCGUGGGUAACCUGCCUCAUACAGGGAGAUAACAGUUGGAAACGGCUGCUAAUACCGCAUAAGCGCACAGUACCGCAUGGUACGGUGUGAAAAACUCCGGUGGUAUGAGAUGGACCCGCGUCUGAUUAGGUAGUUGGUGGGGUAACGGCCUACCAAGCCGACGAUCAGUAGCCGACCUGAGAGGGUGACCGGCCACAUUGGGACUGAGACACGGCCCAA
rnacentral:rRNA from 1 species